rnacentral:misc_RNA from 1 species
AUAUAACGUUGUAGAUUUUCCCUGGUAGUAGUAAGCAACAUUCCGCGUAUUUAAACGAUCUGAAGCAUCUGUUUACCAGUGAACUUCUGGAGGAGUUUGACUGUAUCCGUCUUUGGCUCCAUCUGCUCCGGACUGCCAUCCUCCACGAACAUGAGGUGACUGAGACCAAGAGAGGCAAGCGAAAUCUGUGGCUGUUACAGAGAGAGGUUGGCCGUGGCUGGACCCAGAUGUCUGAGCUUUUCGUCAGCAAUGAUCACCACCCCAGCGUGCGCAACUCACUCAUCGAUAUCCACAACGCCGUCACCACGGCCGCCGCUCACUACAGGCUUUCGCGACUUCUCCCACCACCCAUCUUCGUCCAAGGAGAACUGGUCCCCCCGGCUCUGCCCCCAAAAGCCGGGAAGCUCAGGCGUUUCUUCACCAGUGUCCGUACAAGACUGGCAACUGUUGUCUCCAAACACAAAGUGAAACCCACAAACGUUCCUGUUGUCAAAUGCCGUGUAAAAGACACUUCUGGACACAAGUCCGUCUUUGUUCGUGUUGUGCAAUGUGUCAGGAACAUCACAGGAAGCAAGAACCAGAUUCUCCCUGUGUGAAAGAAUACACAUGUAUUGUAAAACCUAUUUUGAUGUCCGUUUAUUGAAUGUGAUUUGUUUGAACUUGUACAUAUUAUCUGACGCUAUACAUCUUUGUAAAUCACGAAACUGUAAUUCAUUCACUCUAAAAGAAUAUACAAAUCCUGUUUUGCUUGUAAUGUGCUAUUUCUCAAAAGCAUUGCCAUUUCACCAUUCCUUUAACCUAUGUCUCUU